ensembl:lncRNA
AAAGUUUUUUGAAAUUUAAUUUGUUUUUUAAAGGUACUUAAUUAUAGUGGAGUUUAAUUAACCUAUAUAAAGACUUUAGAAAUUGCCACCAUAGACAUGUUUUUCUAAAAAAUAAAAAAUAAAUAAAUAAAAAAAUAUAAAAAAAAUCCAUGAGUUUAGAUAAAGCCAAACAGUGAGACAUUUAGUUAAAAUGUGGAAACAUGGGAAAAGGCAGACAGAAGAGCCCUCCCCCGCACUGCAGAGACCUUGAAGGUUGGAGAGCAGAGAGGAGAAGUUUUAGAAGGGAGCCAGGACGAGCAAAGAUAACAGAAUGUGUAGAUAACAGUCACUGAGUGGAGACAAAAGGGAGAAUUGGACAUGUGGAAAAUUAAAGGGGCGCUCCUACAUGAUAAUGUCAGAACAGAAGGAUAAUAUACUAAUCUUACCUAAGUCAUUAUUUAGAGUAGGUAAGGUUGUUACCUGGGCAGAGCCAGGUAUCAAAAGGGGGAUAGGUAAAUUGUGGUCUAGGAUAGGAUGGGGCCUAUUGGAUAAGAAACUAAUCAUUUAAAAAAAAUGUAGCUAAACAAAUGGGCAUAGAAGGUAAAGAUAUAAUCAGAUAAAACAUAUGAGAAACUGUUUGUUAACCAAGCCUGUAUGUCCAGCAUUUUAUGCAUUAUAGGUGAACUACAGGUGAAGUCACUCAAUCCAGUCCCAGAGGCUUGUUGGGGGGACCAUACCAAGGUCUCCUGGUGACAGCUAGCUGAAAGAGCUACCCGGAUUCAUAUCGCACGGCGGGAGGGUAAGACACAUUUACACUGUCGAACAAUAAACAGUGUUCGAGAGGAGAACUGGAAUUAACAGAAUUCCGGGGGCCAUCUCUCGAAUGAAGUAACCCUCCCUGUCCUGUCACCCCUGUUUUUGUUCUGACCCGUGGAGUGCUGAAUGUAUGUCUACAGAACAAGUGGACGAAAAUUAUAAAUGAAAUUAUAUUAAAUUGGGAGGGUGUCCGUAUGGGGAUUACAUGAUAACCGACUUGGGACAGUUCUGGGAUUGGAGAAGAGGG